GUGGGGAAUAUUGGGCAAUGGGCGAAAGCCUGACCCAGCAACGCCGCGUGAGGGAAGAAGGUUUUCGGAUCGUAAACCUCUGUCCUUAGUGAAGAGAAAGAGACGGUAGCUAAGGAGGAAGCCCCGGCUAACUACGUGCCAGCAGCCGCGGUAAUACGUAGGGGGCGAGCGUUGUCCGGAAUGAUUGGGCGUAAAGGGCGCGUAGGCGGCCUGUUAAGUCCGGAGUGAAAUUCCUGCUUUCAAGGUAGGAAGUGCUUUGGAAACUGGCGGGCUGGAGUGCAGGAGAGGUUAGCGGAAUUCCCGGUGUAGCGGUGAAAUGCGUAGAGAUCGGGAGGAACACCAGUGGCGAAGGCGGCUAACUGGACUGUAACUGACGCUGAGGCGCGAAAGUGUGGGGAGCAAACAGGAUUAGAAACCCCAGUAGUCC
rnacentral:rRNA from 1 species